UCUCGCCCUACACCCACCCGACCCGCCAAACGAACCCUAGCGCUCUUUCUCCUUCCCCUCCAUCCCCACAAGCCGCCACACCCCUCCCUCUCUCCCUCAUCCUCUCCUCACCUGCAGCCGCCGGCCUUGUCUCUCCACUCGCCUCCUCCUCUCCUCUACCACGUCGUCGUUGAUCCACCGCCGACCUUCUCCUCUGCUUACCUCCUCCUGUCCUCUUCCAUGUUGCCGUCGAUCCAGAUCGGACGUAUCGUCGUGGGGGAGCAGCGCCGGCAGGGUCAUCGCGGUGCAGGUGUGGGGUAGGAUGCAACGACAAGGGGAAGGAGGAGGCCGGUGAGGAAGUCAAGCAACAACGGGUGGGGGUAAGGGGCAGGGUGAGGCCUCGCGCACCUGCCGGCGGCCGGCGGGUCGACUUGUCGCGCCACCGCGUCGUCGUCUCCUCUGCGCCAUGAGGUGCCACCUCUGCCUCCACCCCCCGCCGGGCAAGGAGCUCGAGGUGAACAGGCGGUGUGGGAAGGCGAGAGGAAGCAGGAGCUCAUGUCUCCUCCAAUGGAUGUCUCGUGCAUCCGGAGUACAAGGAGAACAACACGUGCCUGUUGGAGGUGGCUCGAGCGAUGCAGGCCAGCGGCGAACUUGAUCUGACAUAGAAGACCACGUUCCUCAGGGAUCCCAGAAUCUAUUAGACAAUAUGGUAGUCCAAUGCUUUUUUGAAGUAUAUAUUGGCACUAUGCUGAAAAAGGACAUGGCAGGAAGUGAAGACAGCCAGUCAUCGCGCCAUAUUCCCGUGAGCUCCAUUCAUAUUACUAUAUGCUUAAAACGUCGUGCUCUCCUUCUCUACAUCAUGUGGUUUGCUAUCAAACUCUCAAAAAGGAAAAACAAUGUUACUCUGUUUUUUGGAGAACCUUCCUGUAGAGUACCUUGACAGAGACAUAUACGAUCGAGGAUAUAUUCGAUGGAUUUUCACGCAAAACUUGGAGGAUAUUUUUUGCAGGUUUGUUGCUUGCUUUAUUGUUUUCUUACUUUCUGUUGUUCAAGACAAUAUCUUCCUAGCAUUGCUCUAUAAAUUUAAAUCCAUCUUUUUGUUCUUUGGAUUAUCAUGGCGUACUCGUCCUGUCUAAUCCAAGAAAGAGCCUUCAUGUUUGCAGAUAGUUUGGUGUUCUCAUGGUUAUUUUGUAGUGAUUUUCCUUCCGUUCAUUACUUGGUAACCAUCUACCGCAGCUCAGCUAUUGUCCAGUUGCUGUCCUUAUGGUGCUUCUUCUGUAACUUAGUCUAUUUUGCUGGCUCUUCUCAUUUCCUGGCGAACUUUUUAGUCUGUACAGUCGAAUCGUUGGAUGUUGCUUUCUACUAUCUAUAGAGGUUCUAUCCAAACUAUUAGCUGCCUGACUUGAUUUUUUGAAAUACACCGUCCUGAUAGACCAAGUGGACCCACACAUUUCCAUGGGAUUUUAGAAAAAUAUAUGUGAAUUUGCAUACAUUUUCUAAAUUUCUAUCUUUUCUUAUCCAUGCUUCCCCAUAGAUAUAUAGCAGGCUCAAAAAAAAUGAAUGUCUGAUUGUGUCCAAAUUUCAAGGAAGCGUGCUUCACACUUCUCUUUCUGCAAUAUGUUUCAGAGUACAUGAUUUAAUUUUCCUACUUUCCUAGUUACAAUACUGUGUACUUCAUUCUUAGGUUUGCUUUGGGAAAAAUAGGUAUGCAGGUUAUUGAAAGCUCCAUUUUUCUCCAUUAUAUAGAUCAUAUAGCUUUGUGAUCAAAGGUAGGUUGUCACAUAUGGGAUGUUGCUUGUGAAAGUUAUAUACAGCCAUGAGUCCCUGGCAAAAUAAUCGCAGCUCAUGUUACUAGGAUCAGGGAACCUCGACCAUUUUUCUGAAACAUGUCGCAGCUCAUGUUCCUACUUUCUCAGCUACACUACUAUGUACUUCAUUCUUACCUUCACUUUUGGAAGUUACAUUGCUUUCUUUUCCCUCAUAAACUUGCUAACAAUAUUGGCGAAGUAAUCCCGACUUCAGAUUUCCCAUUGAAUAAAUAACUAAUUUAGUUCGUUAAAAAAUUGUAGGUCAAGAUCCAUGAAUAGGAGCAAGGCAUCACACUAGCUCUGAGAAGAAAAGGAUAUGAAGACAAAGAUAGACCAGUGUUCUGCUCCGAAGCAAAAACAUUUUGCAUGUAAUAAUGAACUAUAAUUUACCACAAUCUCUCUAAAAUAGGCCUACCUAUUACCAGUCCGUUGCUUGCUUUUGUAUUAGGAAGUAUGACCCAGUCAUAUAUAUUUACAUUCACGUUGUUUAGUUAUGGUUUGUAUGAAUGAAAUUACCUUUUUAAUCGAGCUUCAAAAUUCUUAUGUGCA